rnacentral:misc_RNA from 1 species
AACGGUCUAUACCUGCGGUACCUGCGGAGGGAUCAUUAUAGAGUGGUAAACCUCCCGUAAAAAGGGGGGGACCUCCCGUCCUUUGCAGGCUCUUUUUUAAGGGGCUUUUUUGACUUUCUGCUUCGGUGGGGUUAUCCUACCGGAACAACUUCAAAACUCUGAAUCAAAAAAAUCGUUCUGUCCGAGGGCUUUUUUAUAAAAUAAAAAAAAACUUUCAACAACGGAUCUCUAGAUCGGAAG